UCGUGGGAACAAACUAUUUGAGGUCGCCAAAAUACUGACGAGAAGUUCGACGCACCACCGCAUCAACUUUUCACAAAAACCCCUUGAGAACUGUUUUCUUUGCGACAAAUUUUGGGAGAGCAGAGAGAGAAAGAGAGAGGGGUCCAGUGGCAACUCUCCCUGACGCAGUGAUUCUCGUUACCAUCGUCGCUUGUCUGCUCGAUUUCCUGGAAAGAUAUCUGCUAUCGCUCGCUUUAAUCUCAUUGUUGUGGCUAUGAAGGGAGAGCCCUUGAAGAUCAUGAUAUCUGGGGCUCCUGCAUCCGCGUAGGGAACCUAAUGUUAGUUCGUCACAAAAAAGGAAGGGAGGGAGGGACUUGAUUAAUGGAAGAGUGCCAUUUUUUAUUUGAGGGAAGGGAUAUCCAUGCUUUGGUGUCGGUUUUUUAUUAAUUUGGCUUAUCUGUUGGUUUUGUUCUCUAUACAGUGCAGUAACCUCUCUGCAUCUGAGCUUUUUGCUGAUACGAGGAAUCAUCCUAAUCAGAUGUUGUCGAUUGCAUUGGAAACUGAAACUAUGGUGCUUUGUUUUGAGCAAACAUCAUUGGCGCUUCAGUUGCUACAUUUAUGACAGGAUGCACAUGAUUGAGCUUAAAUUCGUAUCUUCUUUCAAUUUCAGGCUAAUGGGAUUGCUGCAAUGGAAGAUGUGUUUGUUGAGAUAAAACGUGAACUUACUAUAACCAGAAGGCUUUUUCUGAAAUUGCAGCUGAAAAUGGCAAGUGGGUCAAAGACCACAUGGAGAAGGGGAUAUUGGCACUUGAUGAAAUUGUCAUCAUGGCUUGGUUGUUUGAGAUAAUAAAGGAGGGACUUCUACAAGAAGAUGCUCAAGAAAAUGGAUGUGAGUUAAGUUGUGAUUGCAGGCUUAUCAUAAGAAUGUUGAUGUAGGUGAAGAUUUCAUAUACAAGGUGCAUGGAUCCAUAGACUUUAUCAUUCUUUAACUAAUCGAGUCCUUGUGAUCUCGAAAUGGUGCAUUUAUUUUAGUUCCAUCUUUUAUCUGCAAAAAAUAGUGUAGUAGAAAUGAGAAUGUCACGAUGUAUGAGUGGAUAUCCUCUAAGAGAUAGGAUAAGAAAUGAAGCGUUAGUUCUAUGUUGCUCGGGUAAAAUCUGAGCAAUCAUUUGAAAUGGUUUGCUCAAAUACAACAAAUUUCAUUGCAUGCACCGAUUAGGAGAAGUGAUAAGAUUAUAGUUCAUGGAUAAAAACAGAGGCCUAAGAGAAUUUGUUUAGACAAUAUUAAGAAAGAUAUGAUAGUGACUUGUUUAGAGGAGAUAACCCGAAAAAAAAAAUUAGUGAAAGACUAGAAUUCAUGUAGCAGACGCGAAAUAUUUGGGAGAAAUGCUGUGUUGUUAUUGUUGUAAGGCUCAAGAAAGGUGUCCUUUUUUGCUUCGUUAAUUUGUUUGUCAUUAAUCAUUCAGUAUCGUGUUUCAUGUUCUUCGAAUCCAUCUUUUAUGUCUGUCAUAGUAGGGUGGUGUACCUAGACUAUGUUAUGUCCUAUGCUUGAGAUGUUUUUGUGUUACCCUACACUGGUUUUUUUGGACUUUGAGUUUAAUUAAUCUCUUAUUAGUGAAGCAAGGGUGGAUUAAUCAGCCUGACUUUUCCUCGAGAAAAAGAAAUCGCAAGCUGGUUUGCAGUUCUGUUACAUGAUUAGUAUCAUUUCUUGAUUAUUAUCAUUUUUUAGUGAACAUGUAAAAUUAUGAAUGGUGGAAGAAUGACGGCCUUUCUUUUUCAGUGUGUCAACUAAUCCUUGUGCUUAUUUCUAUUUUAAGAUGUCCCAUCUUUUGAGACUGGUGAGUGCAAGUUUCUGAGGGCUAGCGCACUCUAGGCUGAUUGGUAGUCAAAUUGUUGGAGGCUUACAACUAAUUUUACAUUGAGGAGAUUUAUAUUAGUUUCAACUGAAAUCACACUGUAAAGGGGGGUUUGCCAACAACUUAGUGAAUUUAGCAGACAAUAAUCAUACUUUGUACUAAUCUUACUCAUUUUACAGAAUUUGAAAAAAUUAUAAUAUUUUCUUCAUGUACGGGUGACUUCAAGGAUGAUAUCUUAAUUAAAUUCUGGAUGCUCUACAUGUGCUGUGGGAAGAAUCUGUCAUUUUUUUUUAUUUUUUACUUCUAGGAGUUGAACUAGCUUGUUGUCUAUGAUUUGGACAGGGAGAUGGAUAGUCGAAUUAGUAUUCAAAGUCUCUUCUAAGCUUAAGUUAUUUUAAUUAUUGGCUAUUUUUAUUGGCUUCGCCUUUUGCUUUUUUCCUUUUCUUCUAAUAUAAAAUUGGGAAUAAAUUUGGGUUUUCAUCUGUGAGGGGUGGGCAGGGAGAUGAAUCUAAAUUAAAUUGAUUGGGCUUUAGUUAUGACUUUGCAGUUUGAAGGUUCAGCUUUCAGACCUGAUUCUUACUUGUAUAGUCUGAUAAAUUUGAAGAAACUGAAAUAAUAAAAAAUGAUUUAAAAAAUUUAAUGUUUAAGAUAAAGAGGGAUAACAUACUUCAACUUAUAUAUACUCUUGAUGUGAUUAUAUGUUUUUUUUGGGUAUCAGAUAGAAAUGAACAUACAUAUCAGGUAUGUUACUUUGCUUUCUUAUCUGUGGGUUUGUUCUUUAUACAGUGCAAUAACCUCUCUGCAGCUGAGCUUUUUGCUGAUACUAGGAAUCAUCCUAAUCAGAAUGUUGUAGAUUUCAUUUGAAACUGAAUGUGGUGCUUUGUUUUGUGCAAAUGUCAUUGGUGUUUCAGUUUCUACAUUUAUGACAUGAUGCACACACCACACAGUUUGAGCUUAGAUUUGUACCUUAUUUCAGUCUCAGGUCAAUGGGAAUGCUCCAAAGGAAGAUGUGUUUGUUGAGAUAGACUGUGCACUGCCCUUAGUUCUUGAGAAGUCAGAGCUCAAUUUACCAUCAAUGGCUGCUUAUGUAGCUAGUUAGAAAGCAUUGGCGUCAGCAUAUUUGGCACUCAGUUAUAAUCAUAUUUCAAGCAUGCCGGUAAGAUGGUUUUGUAGUUAUUUGUCAUUAGCUUAGUCUCUUAUAUUGCAUAAUAGCUCCUUGUACCUGCAUUACUAAGAAGUUCAUAAUAUUUUCAACUGCAUUAUCAGUUUCUUCAGAUUUUUUUUCCCAGAAGUUUGUGGUUCCGUACAAGAAAUCUUGUCACAGACUGUAAACUUAGAAAAAAUUCUUUUAAUGAUACAAGUCAUUAGUUUCUUAGCGCUUACAGAGUCUGAGAAUAUUUUUAUCUUCAAACUAGAAAUGCAAGUUUUUCUCAGAUGUGCCAAACUAUGAGAUGUGGUUUCUAUUUCCAUUUGAUAGCAGCGUGUGUGGGGGUUUGCAUACAUACAUGAUAGAAUUUUGAUUGCUUCUGGAAGGAUUCGAAGUCAGAUCCUUCCUGUUCAAAUUUGAUAUUCCCAAAAAAAAAUCUUAAG